rnacentral:misc_RNA from 1 species
GGAGGCACCAGGAGUAACUAUCAAUGUGGAAAUAGUUGUUUGUAGGUAAAGGACUCGACUAUGGCAUUCGCUGUUUCCUUGAAUUUGCAGGCCAGCCCUUUCUCAAUUACAGGCAUCAGUUCCUUCACGAAGGCGUCAAAGUUCUUGUUCACGACGUCGUUGAUCAUGCCAAGUAAUAUUUUAUCCCCAUUAAAUAAAUUUUCCAGCCUGACUGACCCUCCACCUACUUCGACAUGUAGAUCGAAAGUAUUGUAUUUCAAAUACUCGUCUCCGUCUUUUUCAUAUAGAUCGCCUUUUAGCAUCGCCUUGGCAUGAGCAUCGGUUAUAUUUGCUUCCAAAUUUCCAUCUCCUUUGACUGGCACCAGUACUAGCUUACCGUCCACACUAUAGUGAGCUUCAAUUCUAAGCUUUGGGAGGUCAACAUACAGUACGAAUUCAUUUGUGUCCAAAUUCACCUCUAUAUUCCUUACGAAAAAGUCGGUACAUCCCCAAGCACUAACAUUGGAUACAGUGAUUUUCAUGCCAGCUGUCUCUUCUGAGAAAAGGUCUUUGAUUAUCAAUGGCUCCAUUUGAGGUAAAUUAUAUUCAGGUACACCAUCAACCAAAAAUGGCCGGAUGUCUUCAACUGACGCCAUCAAACAUUGCUCUAAUUGUGGGUCCUCCUUGUGACACACAUGUAUGAAUGAAGGGAGUUCGUCGCAGAGACAUCCAAAGUAUCCGAUGAUAAGUGCUAGAAGGACACUUUGGAACAUUUUUCGUUCCACUUCCAUCAAU